CCGUGAAAGACGAUCGUAAGCGGGAAGACCGGGCUUCGACGAUGAGAGUUUCCGUUGCCCGUUUCGACGGGUGUGAGGCCCCAGCUAGAACACUCGGGUUGAUAGGCUGGAUGUGGAAGCGAGGUACCGUUUUAUCCGUUGAGCGACGGCCGUUCCACAACGAGCCGCCGGAUCACUAGUCCCGACGUUUCGUCCCUGCUCGAGUGGCGAACGGGUGAGUAACACGUGAGUAACCUGCCCUUGACUUUGGGAUAACUUCAGGAAACUGGGGCUAAUACCGGAUAGGAGCUCCUACUGCAUGGUGGGGGUUGGAAAGUUUCGGCGGUUGGGGAUGGACUCGCGGCUUAUCAGCUUGUUGGUGGGGUAGUGGCUUACCAAGGCUUUGACGGGUAGCCGGCCUGAGAGGGUGACCGGCCACAUUGGGACUGAGAUACGGCCCAGACUCCUACGGGAGGCAGCAGUGGGAAUAUUGCACAAUGGGCGGAAGCCUGAUGCAGCAACGCCGCGUGCGGGAUGACGGCCUUCGGGUUGUAAACCGCUUUCGCUGUGACGAAGCGGUCGACGCGGCCG
rnacentral:rRNA from 1 species